CUACGGGAUGCACCAGUGGGGAAUUUUGGACAAUGGGGGCAACCCUGAUCCAGCCAUUCCGCGUGAGGGAAGAAGGCCUUCGGGUUGUAAACCUCUUUCGGCAGGAACGAAACGGUGAAGGCUAAUAUCCUUUAUCAAUGACGGUACCUGAAGAAGAAGCCCCGGCUAAGUACGUGCCAGCAGCCGCGGUAAUACGUAGGGUGCGAGCGUUAAUCGGAAUUACUGGGCGUAAAGCGUGCGCAGGCGGGUUUGUAAGACAGAUGUGAAAUCCCCGGGCUUAACCUGGGAACUGCGUUUGUGACUGCAAGACUCGAGUGUGGCAGAGGGGGGUGGAAUUCCACGUGUAGCAGUGAAAUGCGUAGAGAUGUGGAGGAACACCGAUGGCGAAGGCAGCCCCCUGGGUCAACACUGACGCUCAUGCACGAAAGCGUGGGUAGCAAACAGGAUUAGAUACCCCUGUAGUC
rnacentral:rRNA from 1 species